UGGCCCCAUGGGAUCGAACCCACGUAUUCGCGUUAUUAGCACGACGCUUUACAACCAACUGAGCUAAUAGGCC